rnacentral:rRNA from 1 species
UCAUUAGUUUUUUAAUUGAAAGCUUGUAUGAAUGGUUUGAUGAAAAAAUAACUUUCUAUGAUUAAUUUUUUAAGAAUUUUAUUUUUAAGUUAAAAAGCUUAAAUUUAUAUAAUAGACGAGAAGACCCUAUAGAGUUUAAUUAAAUUAUUAAUAUUAAUUUAAGGAAUUUUAUUAUUUUUAUUAAUAUUUUAAUUUGAUUGGGGUGAUUAAAAAAUUAAAUUAACUUUUUUUAUAUUUAAACAUAAAUUUAUGAAUAUUUGAUCCAUAUUAAUGAUUAAAAGAUUAAAUUACCUUAGGGAUAACAGCGUUAUUUUUCUUUAGAGUUCAAAUCGAAAGAAGAGAUUGCGACCUCGAUGUUGGAUUAAAGUUUAAUUUAGGUGCAGAAGCUUAAA